rnacentral:rRNA from 1 species
AUACGGAAGGUGCGAGCGUUAUCCGGAUUCAUUGGGUUUAAAGGGAGCGUAGGCGGAGCGCCAAGUCAGCUGUGAAAUCCCGCGGCUCAACCGUGGAACUGCAGUUGAAACUGGCGCCCUUGAGUGCACAUGAGGAUGGCGGAAUUCGUGGUGUAGCGGUGAAAUGCUUAGAUAUCACGAAGAACACCGAUUGCGUAGGCAGCUGACCAGACCGCAAAUGACGCUCAUGCACGAAAGUGCGGGGAUCGAACAGGAUUAGAUACCCUGGUAGUCCGCACAGUAAACGAUGAAUACUUGUUUUCGGCGAUAUAAUGUCGGAGGCAAAGCGAAAGCGAUAAGUAUUCCACCUGGGGAGUACGCCGGCAACGGUGAAACUCAAAGGAAUUGACGGGG